rnacentral:rRNA from 1 species
AUUCCAGCUCCAAUAGCGUAUAUUAAAGUUGUUGCAGUUAAAAAGCUCGUAGUUGAACUUCUGGCUAUUCUUCCAGCUGGCUUCGGUCGCUGUAAGAGUGGUCAUCCGCUUGGGAACUACGUUCGAACUUCACUAUUCGGCGUAAGGAACAGGCAUUUUACUUAGAAAAAAUUAGAGUGUUCAAGGCAGGCUAUCGCCCUGAAUACACAAGCUUGGAAUAAUGAAAUAGGACUAUUUCCAUUUUAUUGGUUAUUGGAAUUAGUAAUGAUUAAUAGGGACAGUUGGGGACAUUAGUAUUUAAUUGUCAGAGGUGAAAUUCUUGGAUUUAUUAAAGACUAACUUAUGCGAAAGCAUUUGUCAAGGAUGUUUUCAUCG